ACUACACGCAAUGCUUAAAACGAACCAGUGCUGAAAUCAGACACAUGCGAUCAGCUUUUUUUCGUCCAAAGAUGCCAGGCCCUGAUAUACGGCGGUUCUUCAUAACUAAUGAAGGUAGACACAGAUUCCUUGACUGCAUGAUGUACCGGUAUUUUGGGCUGGAUACCCCGUUCAUCUCCUGGUGUGUUCCUGAUCAACAGGGAGGAUCAGCUCAACACAUUCUUUACGUCCAUGAAGACCAGAUAUAUCCAGAUCAGGAAGGUCUGAGCAAGCGGAUGUGGAACUCACUGAGAGGGAGUAGUAUAUAUUCAACUCAUUUGCAUUUCUCCACACAAAUGUCACCAGGAGCAAGAGCCACAAAUCUUCCAAGCGUCUGCAGAUGGCCUUGGAAUCUCCCAGGACUUGACACCAAAUUGCUGAUAAAAAUUCUCAUUUCAAGUCUACCGGUUCUCUGAUCACCAUGAUGAAUUCAGGCGAUUUUCCUGGAUUUGCAUGCAGUUGUGGAACAAGAUAUUGGUCCAAGUCAGGUCUGUACAGACACAAGCAGGUGUGCGGAUCAAGAAGGAGAGAGAGGUGCCAUUUUUGUAAUAGUCAUUUCGAGAACCAAGUCAAGUUGUACAAGCAUUUUGAGAGAGACAACCCACUUGCCCUGUUCCGAAGGCCAGUAAAGCACCAAAGCACUUCAUCAAGCCCUUGGAUGCCACCUUGUUGGAUUCAGAAGUGAAGGUUUUAAGUCUCGGAAUCCCUCUUCUUGAUGAAAGUCCAUUAUCACAUGCACACCGGUUGUGAAGAUUGUGACCACAUCACCUCUUGUUGUGGCACCCCUUUCCCAGCCAGCUUCGCCAUUUAAGAUGAGGGCGGAAGUAGCAGACCUGUUUGGAGAGGUUAUGUUACCUGAAGAUGUCAAUCAGUCAUCAUCUGCCCCCGUGCCCUCCCUAUCAGCCCUGUUUGAUUCAAUCCCUGUUGAGUCAUGUCCUGUUUCUGCCUGUGUGCUGUCCCGUGUCUGUGCCCAAAACCACCACUGCGUCGUCAUCCAGUAUCACCACUGCGUCUUCAUCUAACGCCACCACCACUAAUAUCUCAUCUCCCAUCAGUGCCGUCCAGCUUCAUUUCUCGACUGGCACUCAGACCACACCGAGGUUUUUGUUCUAUCACAUCCAUAGUAUAACAACUAAAACGUAUCCAGAUGGAUGGGUUGUGAAACAAGAGCGUCUGCAGAUGGCCUUGGAAUCUGCCAGGGGAUGACACCAUGCUGGUAAGCAUUCUCAUUCCCUUUAGUUCCCUGUCAAACACAAGAGGAUGACAACCAGUACAGAAAACUACCUAGAUCCGCAUCGGGCAAGGGUAAGUCCAUCUUGGGCUCUGCAGCACAGGACGAUCCUCACACACUAUCACGUAAGGCAAAUAUUCUCAAUUAAGUGUUUACAAGGGUGUAAAAUGACUUUGAACAAUUUUCUAACUUUAUUUACCCCAGAAACGUAUUUUUAACUUAUUUUAACUAAAACAACUUAUAACAUUUAGAAAUAAAAGUUAUUUUCAGUGGCUGGACAUUAUUUUCUAAUUUUAAGUAUUUAAAUUCCAAUUUUACAUAAGAUUUAAUUCAAAAAUUUCCAUUAUUUAGUUAACACUGCAUAAUAUUUUUAUGUCUGCUGGAAAGGUCUUUAAUGAUAGCCAUAAUCCACAUCUAUAUUAAAGGUACCUAAUUGUGCAACCCUUUAUGUUGCACAAGUUAUGUUGUUAAUUGACCGUGCAGACCAGGUUGCGGAAGCCCACAAGAUGCCGUACCCAAGAGUCCGCAUGUGGAAGAAGUCUAGAAAUGUGUCAGUUAUUUGACCACCCAACUACAAAAAGUUCCAGAGGAAUCAUAGUUUGAAUUCUCCAUGGAAGCAAUGAAUCUUGUUCACCGCUACAGCUGACGUACACAACAACAGCACAACCAACAGCUACAAGGCUUGCAGCAGCAAUUACCAACUGAUCUGUCUGACCAGGCUCAUGUUCAACCCCAACUUAUGAUGCAGUACUAAUAUGGGAUGGUAAUCCCCAGCCCCCCUCUCCACCCUACAGACUCUCAUGCACCGUCACCCAAAUACCACUGAAUCAACUGAUGCAGCCCAGCUUUGCUCAACUGCAGCCAUCCCAAGGAUUUUGUGCAAACUGCCACGGUUAUCCCAACAUCAAUGCCCCUUAAGUGCAGCAAGAAGCCCCAUCAGGAUGAAGAUGUACCCAAUCUUCAGAAUCACAGGGGUCGGGCGGGAAAGACACCAUCACCUAGUUCUUUGACCGAUUUAAUGAAUAUGUUCCGUGAUUAGAAUCUUAAAAUCACUUAAAAACGGUAAUAGUUGGCUUCAAGCCAACAUGAAGACCUUUUGGAAGAAAUCUUGACAUUUAUAUGAACACUUGAAAUCUUGCCAGUAUGAACACUGGAAAUCUGGCCAUGAUGAACACAGGAAAUCUUGCCAUUGUGAACACUUGAAAUCUUACUAUUGUGAGCACUUGAAAUCUUGCCAUUAUUAACACUUGAAAUCUAGACAUUUUUAGAGAACUUUAAUCUUAAUCUGGUCAAAAAACUUUGUAAUAAUUGUGAAUACCUGUAAAUAUGUUAAAAUAGUUUGCAUUACUGUUCAAAGAGAGAGAUUCUUUUCAUAGAUUCUUUUUUUUAAAGACUUCAUAUGUAAUAUGGAAGUGACCUCCGAUACUGAUAUUGAUACAGAAGCCUAAAUACUUGCAAUUUAUGUGAAAUUUAGAAAAGUUUUGUAUAUUACACAACAUGUUUUACUGUACAAUAUUGUAGGUUGUAAACUGUACUUUACAUCUUGUUUCUACAAUGCAAUACACUACCAAGGGGGACUUAUUUGUUGGUGAAAUAGAUUGAAGUAAAGAAAUAAAAUUACAUUUGCAGUUAAAACGGAACACAUUAAAAUAAAAAUAGAAAAAUAUUAAACAAAUUAAAAUAGAACCAAAUUAAGAAUAUAACCUAAAAAAAACUUAAUUAGAUAAAUUAAGAAAAU